GACGAACCGAGCGAACGUUGUUCGGAAUCACUGGGCGUAAAGCGCACGUAGGCGGGUCGUUAAGUCAGGGGUGAAAUCCCGGAGCUCAACUCCGGAACUGCCUUUGAUACUGGCGAUCUUGAGUUCGAGAGAGGUGAGUGGAACUGCGAGUGUAGAGGUGAAAUUCGUAGAUAUUCGCAAGAACACCAGUGGCGAAGGCGGCUCACUGGCCCGAUACUGACGCUGAGGUGCGAAAGCGUGGGGAGCAAACAGG
rnacentral:rRNA from 1 species